rnacentral:rRNA from 1 species
UACGGGGGGGGCAAGCGUUGUUCGGAAUUACUGGGCGUAAAGGGCUCGUAGGCGGCCAACUAAGUCAGACGUGAAAUCCCUCGGCUUAACCGGGGAACUGCGUCUGAUACUGGAUGGCUUGAGUUUGGGAGAGGGAUGCGGAAUUCCAGGUGUAGCGGUGAAAUGCGUAGAUAUCAAGAGGAACACCAGUGGCGAAGGCGAGUCCCUGGACAACACCUGACACUGAGGCACGAAAGCUAGGGGAGCAAACAGG